rnacentral:rRNA from 1 species
UACGUAGGGGGCUAGCGUUGUCCGGAUUUAUUGGGCGUAAAGAGCUCGUAGGUGGUUCGGUUAGUCGGAUGUGAAAUCUCCAGGCUCAACCUGGAGGGGUCAUUCGAUACUGCCGUGACUAGAGUUCGGUAGAGGAGUGUGGAAUUCCUGGUGGAGCGGUGAAAUGCGCAGAGAUCAGGAGGAACACCCGUAGCGAAGGCGGCACCUCGUCGGCCGAUACUGACACUGAGGGACGAAAGCUAGGGGAGCGAAUGGG